GACAUGGUUAGCAUAGCUUAUGCUGCGUUCCAGACACAAUUUUUAGUCCGUACGUUACGACUUCAAGUCACGACUCACAACUUGGUAGCAUUCCAGGCAAAGUCACAACAAACCCUUCCAGCUAGCGUUA